rnacentral:rRNA from 1 species
CAGUCGCCGCGGUAAAACGAAGGGGGCGAGCGUUAUUCGGAAUCACUGGGCGUAAAGCGUGCGUAGGCGGUCCUAAAAGUUAGGAGUGAAAGCCCAGGGCUCAACCCUGGAGUUGCUCUUAAAACUAUAGGACUAGAAUUCGGGAGAGGAUAGCGGAAUUGUCAGUGUAGCAGUGAAAUGCGUAGAUAUUGACAGGAACACCAGUGGCGUAAGCGGCUAUCUGGACCGACAUUGGCGCUGAGGCACGAAAGCGUGGGGAUCAAACAGGAUUAGAUACCCGGGUAGUCCCUGUCUCUUAUAU